rnacentral:rRNA from 1 species
AUACGGAGGGUGCGAGCGUUAAUCGGAAUUACUGGGCGUAAAGCGUACGUAGGCGGUUUGCUAAGUCAGAUGUGAAAGCCCCGGGCCUAACCUGGGAACUGCAUUUGAUACUGGCAGACUAGAGUAUGAUAGAGGGGGGUAGAAUUCCUGGUGUAGCGGUGAAAUGCGUAGAUAUCAGGAGGAAUACCAGUGGCGAAGGCGGCCCCCUGGAUCAAUACUGACGCUGAGGUACGAAAGCGUGGGGAGCGAACAGGAUUAGAAACCCUAGUAGUCC